rnacentral:tRNA from 1 species
GGCCCUGUAGUUCAACGGAUAGAAUAGAAGUUUCCUAAACUUUAGAUAGGGGUUCGAUUCCCCUCGGGGCUA